rnacentral:rRNA from 1 species
GAGUUUGAUCUUGGCUCAGAACGAACGCUGAUGGCGUGCCUCAUACAUGCAAGUCGAGCGCCCCGCAAGGGGAGCGGCGAACGGGUGAGUAACGCGUGAACAAUCUGCCUCAAAGUGGGGGAUAACCAUUCCAACGGAUGGCUAAUACCGCAUAGGGUUUGGGGGUCGCAUGGCCCCUUCACGAAAGCAGUGAUGCGCUUUGAGAUGAGUUCGCGUCCCAUUAGCUAGUUGGCGGGGUAACGGCCCACCAAGGCAACGAUGGGUAGCCGGCCUGAGAGGGUGUCCGGCCACAUUGGGACUGAGAUACGGCCCAGACUCCUACGGGAGGCAGCAGUAGGGAAUUUUGCGCAAUGGGGGAAACCCUGACGCAGCAACGCCAUGUGUGGGAUGAAGCAUUUCGGUGUGUAAACCACUGUCGGCAGGGAAUAAAGCCCGCGUUUACGCGGGGGUGAAUGUACCUGCAGAGGAAGCCCCGGCUAACUUCGUGCCAGCCGCCGCAGU